GGGGACGUUUUGGAUUUGACAGGACGUUCGGUUGAGAUAAAUUGCGGGUCCGAGCGCUGUUCUCGGUUAUCAACGAGCAAAACAAAUUAAAUGCUAACAACGUAAUUAAAGCAGACUUCUCUAGAGCUCAAGCUUUAGCAGCGUAAGUCGCUAAUUAUAGCUACUCAUAGAACCCAGCUUGCCGGUUUUAUGGGUCCAUUAUGCAAGUGGCAGUGCAUUGAUGACGGUAGAUGUAUCAAGACAACCGUUGGAGGUUUGUGUUUCCGCAAAAAACACUUUGAAAUAUUCGCAGGGUUCUGAUACUUCCUGAAUAUUUCGAGAAAAUUGUUAUCUACACUCGUAGAGGUUUAUUAAAAUCCGUUUUGGACAGGGGUUCGACUCCCCUCGUCUCCAUUU
rnacentral:tmRNA from 1 species